rnacentral:hammerhead_ribozyme from 1 species
AUCCAACUGAUGUGUCCGGAUAGGACGAAACGAGCUUUCCUGGAU